rnacentral:lncRNA from 1 species
AAAUAUACUCUUAUGUUUAUUUGCAGCAUUAUUCUUGAAAAUUAUAUAAUAUCUGAAUUAUCUAGUUGAGAUAUUUGUUACUUACUGGGCUGUCUAGCUCAUUACCUUUCUUUCUAUUUUUCAGAUUCAGAUAAUUAAUUUCGAGCAUGGGAAGAAAUAUUGGAACAGAGCUUUUAGAGGCGAGAUUUAGCGUUGUCAACUUCAAUGAACUUAGAUCUAUUGUUUUUAUUUUUUUUAGCAAAAAUUUUAUUGGAUGUAAGACAUUUGAUUUAAUCACUUGAAUUACAGUUGAAUAAUAAUUAUUUGAAUUU